rnacentral:rRNA from 1 species
AUGGAGCGAUUACGCACACGGUCAGAUCGGAAGCUGCGUGACACGCUUGGAGAGUCCGACAAAGACCUCACACCGGAUGGGGUAAGACAUGUGAUGGACCAAUACAAGCUUACCAUGGCUACGUGGACUACGUGCGGUCCAUGUCCACAACUGUCACCAUCAACGAAGGUCAUGACUCGGUCCCAGUUGAAGAAGUCGAUGAACGAGUGCAUGGAUCACGAAGCACCUGCUAAGCGGGUUGUGCAUAGGGAUGCACCAUGCCCACAGACACCACUACCAACGAAGAGCAAUACAUCACCGAUGCGGAAGAUGAUGACCAGAUCUAUGUCAGAAAGGCCGAGGGCUUGGGUACCAGAUCUCAUAGCAGAUCACAAGAAAGAAGAUGCUUGCCGAAAAUGUGGGCUAAGUGAUAAUCUUGUAUCUUGUACAACAUGUACAUAUGCAUUUCACCGGAAAUGUCUGGUUCCUUGCCUAAAUAUCACAUCUGAUAAGUGGAGCUGCCCUGAAUGUGUAAGCCCACUGACAGAGAUGGAGAAGAUAUUAGAUUGUGAAACGAAGGUUGCUUCUGAAGAGACUAGUUCUUCGGAGUCUGGAUCAAAUAAGAAACCUGUCAAGCAAUAUCUGAUAAAAUGGAAAGGAUUAUCACACAUUCACUGCACUUGGGUGUCAGAAGAUGAAUAUUUUGAGGCUGCGAAGAUACACCCUCGGUUGAAAACUAGAUUGAAUAACUUCAAUAGACAGUUUGAGUCGACGGAUAAAUCUGACGAUGACUAUGUUCCAAUUAGGCCUGAAUGGACAACUGUUGACAGGGUCCUUGCUAGCAGAAAAAACUCUAGUGGUGAAAGGGAGUACUAUGUGAAAUGGAAGGAACUUUCGUACGAUGAAUGCACAUGGGAAAGUGAGUCUGACAUCUCGGUGUUUCAACCUCAGAUUGAGCGCUACAAUGAGAUUCUGUCCAAGCGCAAGAAAUCUACUGACAAGAGUAAGAAUGCCGAUCGUGCGAUGCGUCAUGCUGAAGGGACUCCCGAGUUUCUUACUGGUGGCACACUACACCCUUAUCAGCUUGAAGGGUUAAACUUUCUGCGUUAUUCAUGGUCUAUUAAUAAACGUGUCAUCCUUGGUGAUGAGAUGGGUCUUGGGAAAACAAUACAAAGUAUUGCUUUUCUGGCCUCUGUGUCUGAAGACAAGUUUGGUCCCCAUCUAGUUGUUGCCCCUCUCUCAACCUUGCGAAAUUGGGAGCGUGAAUUUGCAACUUGGGCACCUCAAAUGAAUGUUAUUAUGUAUUUCGGAUCUGGAUCUUCUCGUGACAUUAUCAAGAAGUAUGAAUUUUACUAUUCCAAAGAUAAUCCUAAGAAGCUGAAGAAAAAUAAAUCAUCUUCAUCUAAUGACGAAAAGAAGCAGUCAAGAAUAAAAUUUGAUGUCCUUUUGACAUCUUAUGAGAUGAUUAACAUGGAUUCUGCAGUCCUGAAAACUAUAGAAUGGGAGUGCAUGAUUGUGGAUGAGGGGCACCGCUUGAAGAACAAAGAUUCAAAGUUGUUUGGUCUACUUAAGGAUUAUCAUACUCAACAUCGUGUUCUCUUAACGGGGACCCCAGUUCAGAAUAACCUGGAUGAGCUUUUCAUGCUGAUGCACUUCCUCGAGGGUGAAACUUUUGGGAGUAUAUCUGAUCUCCAAGAGGAGUUUAAGGAUAUCAACCAAGACAAGCAAGUCGAGAAGCUCCAUGGAAUGCUGAAGCCACACCUUCUUCGGAGAUUCAAGAAAGAUGUUAUGAAGGAACUUCCUCCAAAAAAGGAGCUGAUUUUACGAGUCGAGCUGACAAGCAAACAGAAAGAAUACUACAAGGCAAUUCUCACCAAGAACUACGCCGUGUUAUCUCGUCGUGGUGGUGGACAUGUUUCCCUUAUAAAUGUCGUAAUGGAGCUGCGCAAACUUUGUUGCCAUGGAUUCAUGACGGAUGAACCUGAUACUGAGCCUGCGAGCCCAGAAGAAGGUUUAAGGAGGCUUUUAGAUUCUUCUGGAAAGAUGCAACUAUUAGACAAGAUGAUGGUGAAGCUGAAAGAGCAGGGUCAUAGAGUCCUUAUCUAUUCACAGUUCCAACAUAUGUUGGACUUACUGGAGGAUUAUUUAAGCUACAGGAAAUGGAGCUACGAACGUAUUGAUGGCAAGAUAGGUGGCGCUGAAAGGCAGAUACGAAUAGAUCGCUUCAAUGCUAAGACUUCUACUAGGUUCUGCUUUCUUCUUUCUACUAGAGCUGGUGGCUUGGGUAUAAAUUUGGCAACGGCUGAUACUGUAAUUAUCUAUGACAGUGACUGGAAUCCACACGCGGAUCUACAAGCUAUGGCAAGAGCCCAUCGUUUAGGGCAGACUAGCAAGGUUAUGAUAUAUAGACUUGUUAGUCGAGGUACAAUUGAGGAGCGAAUGAUGCAGCUUACAAAGAAAAAGAUGAUACUGGAACACUUAGUUGUUGGGAGACUCACAAAGGCUAGCAAUGUCAAUCAGGAGGAGUUAGAUGAUAUUAUCCGGUAUGGGUCAAAAGAACUUUUUGAUGAUGACGAGGAUGAAGCUGGAAAGUCCCGCCAAAUACAUUAUGAUGAUGCUGCAAUAGAUAGGUUAUUGGACCGUGACCAAGUCGACGAGGAAGAAUAUUUGGAAGAUGAAGAAGAUGACGAAUUUCUGAAAGGUUUCAAGGUUGCGAACUUCGAGUACAUAGAUGAGGCUAAAGCUUUAGCAGCAAAAGAGGAGGCACGCAAAAAAGCGGAAGCUGAAGCCGCAUCCAAUAAAGCAAACUAUUGGGAAGAAUUAUUGAAAGACAGAUGCGUUGAGCAAGAAGUAGAAGAAAUUGCUAUGGGAAAAGGAAAAAGAAGCCGCAAGCAGAUGGCUGCUGCUGAUGAGGAUGACAUUACUGGCCUGCACGAGUUAAGUUCUGAAGACGAGGAUUACUCCUAUGAUGAUGAUGUGUCGGAUAAUGACACGAGUUUACCAGCAAAUGUUUCUGGGAGGAAGGCUCAGUAUUCUAAGAAAAACUCACGUAAUGUAGAUUCACUCCCUUUGAUGGAGGGUGAAGGGCGUGCUUUAAAAGUUUAUGGAUUCAAUCACGUUCAACGAACACAAUUCCUACAGACACUCAUGAGGUAUGGUUUUCAGAACUAUGAUUGGAAAGAGUAUCUUCCUCGUUUGAAGGGGAAAAGUGUCGAGGAAAUUCAGAGAUAUGGCGAGCUUGUCAUGGCCCAUCUUGUAGAGGACACAAAUGACUCACCAACCUAUGCAGAUGGUGUGCCGAAGGAAAUGCGUGCUGAUGAGACAUUGGUCAGGCUAGCCAAAAUAUCACUUGUGGAGGAGAAGGUGGCUGCCAUGGAGCAAGGAAAAAUUACAAAACUCUUCCCCAACUACUUGUUGCAUGAAUUUACUGGCUUAUCAGGUGGAAGAAUAUGGAAAGGGGAACAUGAUCUACUGUUACUGAAAGCACUAAUAAAGCACGGGUAUGCCAGGUGGCAGUACAUAUCAGAUGACAGAGAUAACGGGCUAUUUGAAACUGCUCGACGGGAGCUUAAUCUUCCUUCUGCUAAUGAAUUGAUUAGUUCUCAGUCAAACAAUGAGGCAAAUGGAAAUCUGGAAAACACACAGGAAGUGCAGGUGAACCCAACGAGCUUAUCUCAAUACAGGGACAUCCAGAGAAAGAUUGUUGAGUUUAUCAGAAAGAGAUACCAUAUUCUGGAAAAAUGCUUGGACAUUGAAUAUGCCGUGAUAAAAACAAAUACUCCUGUUCCUGAUGAUCUUACUGAACAAAAUGUUCCUAUGGGACAUAGCCCAGCUGUUCCAGAUAUCAGUGAAGUGUUGAGAGAACUUCCCCCUCUUGUACCAAUUUCUGCCAAAGAAGUGGCUUCUGAUGGCUCAACUGACCAGGCACACCUUUCCCAUCUUUACAACAAGAUGUGCGGUGUGCUUGAAGACAGCGGCCCACGUGCACUCAAUUCAUUCUGCGGUGACAAGGCAGCCUCUGCGAGUCUAGCCAACAGCCUCCAUCAGUUCGAGAAAGUAUGCGAGGACGUUGAUCGGGUCUUGAGAGUCCAAGAGAACGGUGCUGCUACCCCCAAAGAGCAAGUGGUAGAUGCCAGUGUCGAAGAAGCCAAGCCUCCACAAGAUGCAGGCGUUGUGGCGGCGAACGGUGUCGGGCCUUCGACUGUAAAGCCGGAGGACAAAAUGGAAAUCGAUGGUUGA